rnacentral:rRNA from 1 species
GCAAGUCGUGCGAGAAAGUUUCCUUCGGGAGGCGAGUAGAGCGGCGAACGGGUGAGUAACACGUAAAUAACCUGCCCCUAAAUUUGGGACAACCUUGCUAACGCGAGGCUAAUACCGGAUGUGAAUUGUACAACUCAUGUUGUUAAAUUUAAAGGUCUUUCGAGAUUGUUUAGGGAUGGAUUUGCGCACUAUUAGUUAGUUGGUGAGGUAAUGGCUCACCAAGACGAUGAUGCAUAGCCGACCUGAGAGGGUGAUC